rnacentral:rRNA from 1 species
CGGAUGUUAGCGGCGGACGGGUGAGUAACACGUGGGUAACCUGCCUGUAAGACUGGGAUAACUCCGGGAAACCGGAGCUAAUACCGGAUAGUUCCUUGAACCGCAUGGUUCAAGGAUGAAAGACGGUUUCGGCUGUCACUUACAGAUGGACCCGCGGCGCAUUAGCUAGUUGGUGGGGUAAUGGCUCACCAAGGCGACGAUGCGUAGCCGACCUGAGAGGGUGAUCGGCCACACUGGGACUGAGACACGGCCCAGACUCCUACGGGAGGCAGCAGUAGGGAAUCUUCCGCAAUGGACGAAAGUCUGACGGAGCAACGCCGCGUGAGUGAUGAAGGUUUUCGGAUCGUAAAGCUCUGUUGUUAGGGAAGAACAAGUGCGAGAGUAACUGCUCGCACCUUGACGGUACCUAACCAGAAAGCCACGGCUAACUACGUGCCAGCAGCCGCGGUAAUACGUAGGUGGCAAGCGUUGUCCGGAAUUAUUGGGCGUAAAGGGCUCGCAGGCGGUUUCUUAAGUCUGAUGUGAAAGCCCCCGGCUCAACCGGGGAGGGUCAUUGGAAACUGGGAAACUUGAGUGCAGAAGAGGAGAGUGGAAUUCCACGUGUAGCGGUGAAAUGCGUAGAGAUGUGGAGGAACACCAGUGGCGAAGGCGACUCUCUGGUCUGUAACUGACGCUGAGGAGCGAAAGCGUGGGGAGCGAACAGGAUUAGAUACCCUGGUAGUCCACGCCGUAAACGAUGAGUGCUAAGUGUUAGGGGGUUUCC